CUCGUAGGUGGUUCAGCAAGUCAACUGUGAAAGUCCGGGGCUCAACCCCGGGAGGCCAGUCGAAACUGCUGUGACUAGGGUCCGGUAGAGGUGAGUGGAAUUCUCGGUGUAGCGGUGAAAUGCGCAGAUAUCGAGAGGAACACCAGUAGCGAAGGCGGCUCACUGGGCCGGUACCGACACUGAGGAGCGAAAGCGUGGGAGCAAACA
rnacentral:rRNA from 1 species